UACGAAGGUGGCUAGCGUUGUUCGGAAUCACUGGGCGUAAAGCGCACGUAGGCGGAUGUGUCAGUCAGGGGUGAAAUCCCGGAGCUCAACUUCGGAACUGCCUCUGAUACAGCACGUCUUGAGUUCGAGAGAGGUGGGUGGAAUUCCUAGUGUAGAGGUGAAAUUCGUAGAUAUUAGGAAGAACACCGGUGGCGAAGGCGGCCCACUGGCUCGAUACUGACGCUGAGGUGCGAAAGCGUGGGGAGCAAACAGG
rnacentral:rRNA from 1 species